rnacentral:rRNA from 1 species
CUGGAGCUUGCUCUAGUGGAUUAGUGGCGAACGGGUGAGUAACACGUGAGCAAUCUGCCCUUGAUUCUGGGAUAACUGCGGGAAACUGUAGCUAAUACCGGAUACGACACCUUGGGGGCAUCCCGAGGUGUGGAAAGAAUUUCGGUCAAGGAUGAGCUCGCGGCCUAUCAGCUUGGUUGGUGAGGUAAAAGCUCACCAAGGGCGACGACGGGUAGCCGGCCUGAGAGGGUGACCGGCCACACUGGGAACUGAGAUACGGUCCAGACUCC